rnacentral:rRNA from 1 species
UACGGGGGGGGCAAGCGUUGUUCGGAAUUACUGGGCGUAAAGGGCUCGUAGGCGGCCCACUAAGUCAGAUGUGAAAUCCCCAGGCUCAACCUGGGAACUGCGUCUGAUACUGAAUGGCUUGAAUCCGGGAGAGGGAUGCAGAAUUCCAGGUGUAGCGGUGAAAUGCGUAGAUAUCUGGAGGAAUACCGGUGGCGAAGGCGGCAUCCUGGACCGGCAUUGACGCUGAGGCGCGAAGGCGUGGGGAGCGAACGGG